rnacentral:lncRNA from 1 species
GCAACAGAAAUAUAAAAAAAAUUAUCAUUUUUUUAUUAAUGACAUUUAUAUUUACAUCACAAUAAGUAAAUGAAAAAUACAUCAUCGGUAUUGUCGAGCCGAAUGUGUGCCACUUGAGUCCAAUGUUGCAACACGAGAGUCCAAUGUCGCAACAUAGUGGACAGAGUGACAAAAUCCCAAGGCUACCUUCGGUGUCGCGACACAC